AUCCAGGUGACGAGUCUGAAAUAGGACGAAAUGUGCAUCUUGGAU
rfam:Trichobilharzia regenti genome assembly, scaffold: TRE_scaffold0003907